rnacentral:lncRNA from 1 species
UCUGGGCAGAGAAUUGACAAAGGGCGUGGCAAAAGUAACGAAGAAGAAAAACGAACCAAUAGGAGCUCAGAUGUUUGUGUUUUUGAAUGAGACGCGGUUGAUGGCAGCUGAAACGACAGUCGUUCGGUGCAUAUAUUUGGGCUUUUAUCUGCGUUGAAGGUAGAUUAAUAACCUUUCAAAGUUUUAAAGGUCUGUCCUCCUUUUCAAAGUAAUGUUCUCCAGGAAGUUAAGUUCCAGUUGGGAAGUCCAGCCCUCCAGUGGACAAGGAGAGCGCACACCCCUUCGAAGCCUGGACAAUGAAAUCCUACGUUUUUCAACUCCAUCAUCUGAACUCAAGACAAGUUGGAAACUCUCGUCUGAAACUGCAAAAGCAACAAUGGGGAGCUUUUCGCCAGAAUUUCACUUGAAUUCCCCUGCAUUCACAAAAACGACACAAGGCAGUCCUCCUCAUGUUGAAUGUGGACCUGAAGAUGUCACAUUCAAAUCCUUUAUGUGUGCUGGCGGUGAGGUUGAGAUUCCAGAGUCUUCGAUUUGUCACCAGGCGAGCAUUAUUUUGCCUACAGUUGCUGACACUUGCUGUAGUGCUGCUGGAUGAACUGGGGAUCACACCCAGAACAUGAAGCAGUCUGUGCUGCUUGAUGACCAGAAACAACUGCCAAACUGUAACAAAACGUGACCGUCCUGAACAUUGGCUCCCCAAGACUCUCUGAAACUCCCAUUCACGAGUGUGACAGACUUCCGAACACAGGAAGUGAAGAUCAUCAUGUAACUUUGAAAUCCUUUAACUGCCAUGGAGGUGAGGUGGAAAUUUCAGAUGCCACCAGGUUACACGAUGAGACCAUUCCACUGCCCUCAGAGCUAGGUUCAUUAAAAGACCACAGUACAACAAUCACUCACUUCUCUAUUUGUACCCAUUUUUGCCAAGAAGAACAUGCUGAUCACCCAUACUGUAUAAAAGAAGAUUAUCCACUCACCACAAGCUUUUCUGAAACCACUGGUGCUUCUCCUGAACAGCCCGGAA